CGGGAGCUUUUGAAGGUCCCGUCCUCUGCGCUUUCAUCCCCGCUGUUUACUCCUCCAAACCUAGUGUCACUGUUCUCUCGAUAUGUGGACCGGCAGAGACUCGAGCUCUUGCAGGAGAAGCUACAGAUCACAGCCCUGUCCAGGUAGAAGUGACUUCAAAUGUGGCAGUUGUUGAGAGGCUGACUGUUAAUGUAUUUGUGAAUGAGCAGUUUUAUGUGUGAUAUGUAUUGGAGGGUGAGGCCAGGUUACUUUUCCUUUCUCGUUAUAAGAGUCACAAUAGAUAAGAAUAAUGUUUAAAUGGUUAUAAACUGUUGUCCAUAGGUUUGUCAAUAAAGGCGAUCAGGUAUAUGUAUUUUAGCUUCCAUUAGGGUCAGCUCUGAGCAGAAGAGCCAGGUAAGGGACCGCAGCGUGUUUCCCUGUGAAAUGGCUCGAUCAUGACAACAUCCGACCUUAUUUAUAGACGCAUAGAUUUGGGGAGAAUUUUGCUGUACAUUAAUAUCUUAAUUUUCUUAUACACUGCAGCUUGUAUGUUUGCAAAAGAGUGGCUGUGCAAGUGUGUCUGUGAGUUUAAAUGAAGGUUUAAACAAAGGUAUUCUUCAUUUUUAAAUAUCUUGACAUGAUGCCUGUGAUACACAUGAAAUUAAAACUUUCUAUUAUACAAA